UACGUAGGUGGCAAGCGUUGUCCGGAUUUAUUGGGCGUAAAGCGAGCGCAGGCGGUUCCUUAAGUCUGAUGUGAAAGCCCACGGCUCAACCGUGGAAGGUCAUUGGAAACUGGUCGACUUGAGUGCAGAAGAGGGAAGUGGAAUUCCAUGUGUAGCGGUGAAAUGCGUAGAGAUAUGGAGGAACACCAGUGGCGAAGGCGGCUUCCUGGUCUGUAACUGACACUGAGGCGCGAAAGCGUGGGGAGCAAACAGGAUUAGAUA
rnacentral:rRNA from 1 species